GCCUGCGUGGUGUAACUGGAAACACACUCGACGAGCAUUCGAGAGGUCCAGGGUUUGAAUCCCGGCGAAGGCA
rnacentral:tRNA from 1 species